GAGGGCAGCUCAGUGGUAAAGCACUUGCCUAGCAAGCAUGAGGCUCUUGGUUCCAUCUCUAGUACCACA
rnacentral:tRNA from 1 species